GCAUAUCAAUAAGCGGAGGAAAAGAAACCAACAGGGAUUGCCUCAGUAACGGCGAGUGAAGCGGCAACAGCUCAAAUUUGAAAUCUGGUCCUUUCAGGGCCCGAGUUGUAAUUUGGAGAGGAUGCUUCGGCUGCGGCCCUGGUCUAAGUUCCUUGGAACAGGACGUCACAGAGGGUGAGAACCCCGUACGUGGCUGGGUGCCUACGCCAUGUGAAGCUCCUUCGACGAGUCGAGUUGUUUGGGAAUGCAGCUCUAAACGGGAGGUAGAUUUCUUCUAAAGCUAAAUACCGGCGAGAGACCGAUAGCGCACAAGUAGAGUGAUCGAAAGAUGAAAAGCACUUUGGAAAGAGAGUUAAAAAGUACGUGAAAUUGUUGAAAGGGAAGCGCUUGCAACCAGACUUGGACGUAGUUGCUUAGCCGGGCUUCUGCCCGGUGCACUCUUCUGCGUCCAGGCCAGCAUCAGUUCAAGCGGCCGGAUAAAGGCCUUGGGAAUGUAGCUCCUCUCGGGGAGUGUUAAAGCCCUCGGUGCAAUGCGGCCUGCCUGGACUGAGGUCCGCGCUUCGGCUAGGAUGCUGGCGUAAUGGUUGUAAGCGGCCCGUCUUG
rnacentral:rRNA from 1 species